CCUCAGCCUCCCAAAGUGCUGGGAUUACAGGCGUGAGCCACCGCGCCCAGCCAGCUUUAAUGUUUUUAAAAAGCCCCUUUUAAAUUUCCAGUUAAACUUUCAAAUACUUUGCUUAAUUCUCUAAGAGAAAUGGAUACAUCAGGAAGAUGUACCAUAUUCUGUCCUGGGCUUCCCAUCUCCAGCCCGAGUGGAGAUGCCACCUGCUUUAAGAACCAAAGGUCUAAAGGUACCAAAGGAGGUCUCUGUGGUUGUGUAAUUAAAUCCAAGGACCUGGGCACCAGGAAAGAAAAUGCUGAGCACGGCAUGAGCAAGGGGGUUUUGCAAGGCAAGCUGGAGUCAUUUGGGGUUGCUUUGGGAGGUGAAGGAAGGCACUAGAAGAUCUGAGGAAGAGGUAGCCAAAGUUCUGAAUAUAUAAAAGUUGCAGCACCCCCAUCUCCACUGUGGCUUUGGCUGCCAGCCAGAGCUGCCGUUUUAUUGACAAUUUAUUGGAGUGCUUCUCCCAUUGAGCUUUCAUGAUGGUAUUCAUGUUGCACUCUGCUUGAGUCUCAGAUAAAAGGUCCUUCAUCUACACUCCCCAAGACCAUUAUCACUGCUUAUUAUAAUGCCAUUCAGAUGAAAAGCCCCACAGCACUACAAAGAAGAUCUAGACUUAUAAUAAAAUCAAUACUUUCGUUUCCUUACAAGACAAUUAAAGGGGGAGAAAUAGGCGGGUCUACAGACUGUUACUCCUGAGACUCUCCAGAGGAAGGACGCAAGGCUAGGUGGCAGCUGUCUGUGGGGAGCUUCUGUCUCAUUUCAUCUGGGCUUGGGAUGAAUGGAAAGGCUCGUGCAUCUGAUUGAUGAGCACUAGCUUGUAGAUGACAGCAUAGGCCUUCUGCUUCCUAACUCUUGUCAGCCUGCUCCAAGCACUGGCUUUCCAGCAAGCAGCUAUUUCCUCAGCCCUUUCUUCUUCCCCAGUCAGGCAGGCUUUAACCUAAGCCCAAACUAAAUGCCAGCAGUAUUCUCCAAGCUCUUGAUUCCUAUCUACUGAUUGGCUGGCAUAGCCUCAUGGAGACUGUAGUCAAAGAAGAGUGUUUAGGCUCUAAGUAUGAGAAGAUUCAAGGAUUGUAUUGACAAGAGAGCAAACAUAGAAUUUUUGUACAAUGCAGAGAGAUCAGAGAAAUGGAAAGAGACGGAGACCAGGAGAGACAACAAGAAAAAGAAGAGACAAGGAAAAAAGUUGGGAGGAAUCCUCAGCAUCAUGCAGCAAAUCAGACAAAGUUAGCCCAGCUUCCGAGGGGCUAACCUGGAAAAUGCAAAGCUGAGAAGAAGCCAAGACAAAAUAAGCCAAUAGACUGAGGAGUGGCCCACCGUGCUGAGUGUCCUGCAAGGCGUAAAUGGAGUUGACUCAUAAAAGAUCUAUGGACACAGGACUACAGCUUCUGAGGCCUCUGAAAGAAGUGACAUUGUUCCAAGCUGUCCAGACCGAAGCAUCACCUCUGUGAUCAAGCUUGAGAUUGUUUGUGGCUGAGAAAUAUACUGCCAUCUACACACAGGCAGUGUAAAGUCUAAAAGGAGCGACACUGCCUGUUCCUGAAGGAAUAAGAAGUGGGAAGAGAAGAAAGGAGAAAUGAAGCAGGGAGAGUCAGUCCUGCACUGGCUGCAGGUCAUGGCCAGUCAGCAGCCACACAGAAGAUGUAGGAGAGAACAAGAAACCCCUGUUAUCUUCUGGUUACUCCUAGAUAUUCCUUUUUCUACCUGCUGGUUGCCCUGCAGAAUGUGAAAUGGCACAAGAAUUCAAGAUGGGGACCACAGACAGACUAGCUGGUUUUGCUAAGUUGGAUAAUAGCACACAGUGUUGGCAUGAGUGUGGGAAACAAGUCCUAUCCUCUCCUGUGGAUGACAGUCACGAGCUUCCACCUCUGCACAUAGGCACAGAAACCGGGGCCCGUGCGUUGGGACCUGUGAGCCUCACACCUGCCUCUGAUGGCAUCAUUUGCUGCUCCAGGCUUCACUGCAAUCGACCCACUUGGAGAGUAGCUCAGGAGGCUCACCCUGCCCUGGCAAGCAAUAGUGAGGGAAGAGACUCCAGAAGAUGAAUUAGAAAGAGUUGGAAAAUCUUUGAGAAGCAAGACCCUAAGAAGGGAAGAAAAUAUAGAAUUCUGUUUCAACCAGAAUAAAAACAGAUCUUUGGCACAGGUCAAAGAUCCUCAUUGUGG
rnacentral:lncRNA from 1 species